rnacentral:rRNA from 1 species
CACGUAGUUAGCCGGUGCUUUUUCUGCAGGUACCGUCACCUUCGCUUCUUCCCUACUAAAAGAGGUUUACAACCCGAAGGCCGUCAUCCCUCACGCGGCGUUGCUGCAUCAGGCUUUCGCCCAUUGUGCAAUAUUCCCCACUGCUGCCUCCCGUAGGAGUCUGGGCCGUGUCUCAGUCCCAGUGUGGCCGGUCACCCUCUCAGGCCGGCUACCCGUCGUCGCCUUGGUGAGCCAUUACCUCACCAACUAGCUGAUAGGCCGCGAGUCCAUCCUUGACCAAAAUUCUUUCCAGCUCCUCACCAUGCGGCGGAAGCUCGUAUCCGGUAUUAGACACCGUUUCCAGUGCUUAUCCCAGAGUCAAGGGCAGGUUACUCACGUGUUACUCACCCGUUCGCCACUAAUCCAAGAGCAAGCUCUCUUCAUCGUUCGACUUGCAUGUGUUAAGCACGCCGCCAGCGUUCAUCCUGAGCCAGGAUCAAACUC